rnacentral:miRNA from 1 species
GAGGUGGGAGGAUUGCUUGAGCCAAGGAAUUUGAGGCUACAGUGAGCUAUGAUUGUGCCACUGCACUCCAGCCUGAGUGACAGAGCUAGACCCUGUCUC